AGUAACACGUAAAGAACCUACCUUAUAGACAGGGACAACUAUUGGAAACGAUAGCUAAUACCUGAUAAGAAAGAAACUCGCAUGAGAGAAGUUCGAAAGUCGGAGCAAUCUGACACUAUAAGAUGGCUUUGCGGUGCAUUAGCUAGUUGGUAGGGUAAAAGCCUACCAAGGCGACGAUGCAUAGCCGACCUGAGAGGGUGAUCGGCCACAUUGGGACUGAGACACGGCCCAGACUCCUACGGGAGGCAGCAGAA
rnacentral:rRNA from 1 species